CCUACGGGGGGCAGCAGUGAGGAAUAUUGGUCAAUGGCCGGAAGGCUGAACCAGCCAUGCCGCGUGAAGGUCAGUGCCCUAUGGGCGUUAAACUUCUUUUGUGCGGGAGCAAUAAUGGUCACGUGUGGCCAGACGAGAGUACCGUACGAAUAAGCAUCGGCUAACUCCGUGCCAGCAGCCGCGGUAAUACGGGGGAUGCAAGCGUUAUCCGGAUUUAUUGGGUUUAAAGGGUGCGUAGGCUGUGAGGUAAGUCAGCGGUGAAAUGCCCCCGCUCAACGGGGUGAAGUGCCAUUGAUACUGCCUGGCUGGAAUGCGGAUGCCGUGGGAGGAAUGUGUGGGGUAGCGGUGAAAUGCAUAGAUAUCACACAGAACACCGAUUGCGAAGGCAUCUCACGAAGCCGCGAUUGACGCUGAUGCACGAAAGCGUGGGUAUCAAACAGGAUUAGAUACCCGAGUAGUC
rnacentral:rRNA from 1 species